AAGCGACUUCGUGGAAACACAGACAGAGGUUAUGAAUUUGGAGAAGAAGAACACAGAGUCCCCCGGUUCCUUGUUGUAUAUUCUAGUUGUAGGUCCCUCUGGAUGAGCUAUGUGGGAUGCUGCCUCAGCAUGGCUUGAGGAGCGGUGCCACGUCUGCCCCGAGGAUCCAAACUGGCGAAACCCUCGGCCAAGGAAAUGGAGCGCAUGAACGUAACCACUCAGCCAUGGGGCGGGCCCUAGAUUUCUCCUAGUGUUAAUAUGAGUAAAGGUGAUGCGUGGGUCUUUGCUUGAUGGGCAGAAGGGCUUUUCACCCCUCCUGAGGCCUACCUGAAAUUCUCAGACAUCCGGUCACCCUUCACAAGCUCUGUGGACUUGCACAGGAGGAAGGAGCAGCUCCACUCUGUCAGUUUGCAUCACCUCAGGAAACCCAGCCAGAAAAAGCCGCUGCUAUUCCAGUUUCUCGUCUCUCACACCUCCCACUAAAGAGCCCCAAGAGUCUGCUUCUGAAAAAUAAAUUUUAUAUAGUGAAGUGAUAAGAGAACAAAACACGUCCUGAUUUGAAGCUCCAUUUUUAACACCAUUUUUGUGAAAUGACAAAACAAAAAGAACAAAUUUAAGAAACAUGAGAAGCCCCAUUCAUUUUCAUACAGGCGUUGUAGGCAUUGUACAAUGACAGACCGUUGGCAUCAGACCUAAAAUAAGAACAGAGAAGUAGUGCAAUGAGGAAUCCAUCCAUCACAUUAAUGGCAAAUGGUGCACUAAUCAUUGAUCUAUUAUUUAUCAUGCAAAUAAGUGUAUCCUGUCUAGACUGCAGAAGCAUUUCAAUAUAAAG
rnacentral:lncRNA from 1 species